UUUGCAAAGGUCCAGUGCGUCACAACCGGCCCCGCCACCGGCAGAGGGGCGGCUACGGUUGUAGAUGGCAGUAGCGGCGGGGGCAUGUACGACAGCAGCAGCGGCGACGACCAUGAGGUGAAGAGGAAGGAUGAGGAGGAGGACGACGACAAGAAAGCAGAGGGAGAGAGAAGGAGGAGGGAGAAGAAGAGAAAGAGAAAUGGUAUAAAUUUCAUCGAAAUAGUGCAACUUUCGCCUAAAUAGUGUAACUCUCAUCUUAAAGAGUGUAAUUUUUAUUUCAAAGAAUGCAAGUUUCAUUUAAAACAGUGCAAUUUUUUUUGAAAAUAGUGUAACUUUAUUUUAACAGUGCAAUUUUAUCUUUUUCUUCCUUCUUCUAUGAUUUUAGUCUAUCCUGUAUGAAAAUUAAUUUUUUUAAUUUUUUAUUAUUCUUAUUUUUUUCUCUCUAUAAUUUUU
rnacentral:lncRNA from 1 species